GACGAACCGUGCGAACGUUGUUCGGAAUCACUGGGCUUAAAGGGCGCGUAGGCGGGCCACCAAGUCCGGGGUGAAAUCUUUCGGCUCAACCGGAAAAGUGCCUUGGAUACUGGUGGCCUCGAGGAAGGUAGGGGAGCGCGGAACGGAUGGUGGAGCGGUGAAAUGUGUUGAUAUCAUCCGGAACUCCGGUGGCGAAGGCGGCGCUCUGGACCUUUUCUGACGCUGAGGCGCGAAAGCCAGGGGAG
rnacentral:rRNA from 1 species